rnacentral:sRNA from 1 species
GAUUUGCGUUAGGGAUUGCAGCGGUUACCUCACGACUUUUUAGCGGAUUUAGGCUGAAAAGGAUGGGGAGUAAAAGCGGAAAGCCCGACCUGAG